UUUCUAUGAAUCACAACUUUCUUUCCUUAUUUUCUCACAGCAAUAAAAUUUCAAUUUUUCUUCCCGUUAAUCCUAAGAUGUCUGUAAAGUCUCACAUAAUUACAGGAUUUAUCAAUCCUUUCAAACCCACUGCUUCUUCUUCAAGCUCUGGGAGUAGUAGCAGCAGCCUCUCUUUAGUUAAGAAACCACUCACUUCCUCCUUCUUCAACGGCGGAGCGGCUGAACUAAAAGUUACAAGCAUAAGGGCCCUUCCGGGAAGAUCUCAUUGUCAAACAAGGUGGAGGUGCUCUUGGUACGCGCAUGAACCUUUUUGAUCGGUUUGCUAGAGUUGUUAAGU